GGGGAUAUAGCUCAGUUGGUAGAGCACUUGUCUUGCAUGCACAAGGCUCUGGGUUCAAUACCCAGCACCA
rnacentral:tRNA from 1 species